CCGUAUUGUCUAUUGUCUAUUGUACACCCACAAAGGUCCUUGAAAGAAUUCCGCCCCUUUCUUGAACUGUAGUGUUGAAAAUAAAAAGGGGAAAGAAUAUCGUGGUAAUACAGAUCAGUCGUUAAAUGGCUGGAAGGGAUAAGUGACCUUCUCCUCCUUGGGUUGUGUGCUUGUAUCAUCUCUUGAUGAGUUCCUUCUUGACGUGACUUCCAGGUCUGAAGGAAACAAAGGUUGUUCUUUAUGCCAACCACGUGUCUGGACUUUGUUCAGUGUGUGUGUGUGUAUCCCGGGAGAAUUAUCUGUGCUGAUCGCGCAAUAGUCUCUCUGCAGCUGUUGAAAUGAAAGGUUCAUAAGUCCUGGCAGUAAAUAUGCUCGUUUGAUAAUCCUCAAUAAAACACAAAGU